rnacentral:rRNA from 1 species
GUGUCAGCAGCCGCGGUAAUACGGAGGAUCCAAGCGUUAUCCGGAAUCAUUGGGUUUAAAGGGUCCGUAGGCGGUUUAAUAAGUCAGUGGUGAAAGCCCAUCGCUCAACGGUGGAACGGCCAUUGAUACUGUUAAACUUGAAUUAUUAGGAAGUAACUAGAAUAUGUAGUGUAGCGGUGAAAUGCUUAGAGAUUACAUGGAAUACCAAUUGCGAAGGCAGGUUACUACUAAUGGAUUGACGCUGAUGUACGAAAGCGUGGGUAGCGAACAGGAUUAGAAACCCCAGUAGUCC